rnacentral:lncRNA from 1 species
AUAUUUUGUAUUCCCCAAGUCACAUUCAGACUUUCUUGUAGUUCCCAAAGUCACUAUAAUUACUUUGGGAUCUUUUUCCUAAGUUCUGGUUACUUUUCUAGGAGUAGGUAUAGCAUGCAUUUUUCCAAGCCUUGGUAAACGCAGUCUUGGUAAAUGCAUGACAAGUAGUGCUAUGUAAUUUCCUAGGAGUUGCUUCUCUUUGAAGCCAUUUCAGCCUUAAAAUAGCACCUGAUUGUACUUGAGAGGAGGAGGACGCAUGAAUGAAAUUUGAGAGUUUCUCUUAUG